rnacentral:rRNA from 1 species
UACGGGGGGGGCAAGCGUUGUUCGGAUUUCCUGGGCGUAAAGGGCUCGUAGGCGGCCAACUAAGUCGGAUGUGAAAUCCCCAAGCUUAACUUGGGAACUGCAUCCGAUACUGGAUGGCUUGAAUCCGGGAGAGGGAUGCAGAAUUCCAGGUGUAGCGGUGAAAUGCGUAGAUAUCUGGAGGAAUACCGGUGGCGAAGGCGACAUCCUGGACCGGCAUUGACGCUGAGGAGCGAAAGCUAGGGGAGCAAACGGG